rnacentral:rRNA from 1 species
UUGACCUCGGAUCAGGUAGGAAUACCCGCUGAACUUAAGCAUAUCAAUAAGCGGAGGAAAAGAAACCAACAGGGAUUGCCCUAGUAACGGCGAGUGAAGCGGCAACAGCUCAAAUUUGAAAUCUGGCUCUCGGGCCCGAGUUGUAAUUUGUAGAGGAUACUUUUGAUGCGGUGCCUUCCGAGUUCCCUGGAACGGGACGCCAUAGAGGGUGAGAGCCCCGUCUGGUUGGAUGCCAAAUCUCUGUAAAGUUCCUUCGACGAGUCGAGUAGUUUGGGAAUGCUGCUCUAAAUGGGAGGUAUAUGUCUUCUAAAGCUAAAUACCGGCCAGAGACCGAUAGCGCACAAGUAGAGUGAUCGAAAGAUGAAAAGCACUUUGAAAAGAGAGUUAAAAAGUACGUGAAAUUGUUGAAAGGGAAGCGUUUAUGACCAGACUUGGGCUUGGUUAAUCAUCUGGGGUUCUCCCCAGUGCACUUUUCCAGUCCAGGCCAGCAUCAGUUUUCCCCGGGGGAUAAAGACUUCGGGAAUGUGGCUCUCUUCGGGGAGUGUUAUAGCCCGUUGUGUAAUACCCUGGGGGGGACUGAGGUUCGCGCAUCUGCAAGGAUGCUGGCGUAAGGUCACA